GUGCUCGCUUCGGCAGCACAUAUACUAAAAUUGGAACGAUACGGAGAAGAUCAGCAUGGCCCCUGCGCAAGGAUGGCAUGCAAAUUCGUGAAGCUUUCCGUAUUUUG
ensembl:snRNA U6 U6 spliceosomal RNA